CCGCGUCCAGGCUCAUUCAAAUUUCGUGUCGAACGCGUUCGGACGUAUGUUUGGAGGGCUCUCGCUUCUGAAUCGUCUUUCGUCGUGGUUUUGCUGCUCCGGUGCCGUGACUGUUUAUUGUGCCUUCCUAGUGAUAUCUGCUUCUGUGUGUACCAUGGAAGAUACCUCCGGUAGCCGUUGGACUUCGUGAAUUGAAGACCAUGUUGAGAGAUGAAUCUCGGUGAACAACACAGACGAGUCACCGCACACACGGCGUGGGAAAAUGAACAGAUACGUCGUGGGGAUGUUGAAAGAGAUCAAGUAGGGCAUACCCUUCACCCAUGCGACUGCAUUAUCCAUGGAACGUUGUGUGACGUCCGACACUACCUUUCGCAAAUCAAUUUCGGACAUCGGAAGACUGCAGAAGAGAUUGUAUGUAACUGAUGAGAA